AUUGAACGCUGGCGGCAGGCCUAACACAUGCAAGUCGAGCGGAUGAAGGGAGCUUGCUCCUGGAUUCAGCGGCGGACGGGUGGGUAAUGCCUAGGAAUCUGCCUGGUUGUGGGGGGUAACGUCUGGAAACGGGCGCUAAUACAGCAUACGUCUUGAGGGAGAAAGUGGGGGAUUUUCGGAUAUCACGCUAUAACACGAGCCUAGGUCGGAUUAAAUAGUUGGUGGGGGAAAGGCCUACCAAGGCGUCGUUGCGUAACUGAUCUGACAGGAUGAUUAGUCACACUGGAACUGAGACACAGUCCUAACUCCUACGAGAGGCAGCAGUAGAGAAUAUUGGACAAUGAGCGAAAGCCUUAUCCAGCCAUGCCGCGUGUGUGAAGAAUGUCUUCUGAUUGUAAAGCACUUUAAGUUGUGAAGAAGCACAGUAACUUAAUACCUUGCUGUUUUGACGUUACCAACAGAAUAAGCACCGGCUAACUUCGUG
rnacentral:rRNA from 1 species